UACGAAGGGGGCUAGCGUUGCUCGGAAUCACUGGGCGUAAAGGGUGCGUAGGCGGCGCGGUAAGUCGGGUGUGAAAUCUCGGGGCUUAACUCCGAAACUGCAUUCGAUACUACCGUGCUUGAGGACUGGAGAGGAGACUGGAAUUUACGGUGUAGCGGUGAAAUGCGUAGAUAUCGUAAGGAAGACCAGUGGCGAAGGCGGGUCUCUGGACAGUUCCUGACGCUGAGGCACGAAGGCCAGGGGAGCAAACGGG
rnacentral:rRNA from 1 species